rnacentral:rRNA from 1 species
GCUUGUCUCAAAGAUUAAGCCAUGCAUGUCUAAGUAUAAACGAUUUUAUACGUGAAACUGCGAAUGGCUCAUUAUAUCAGUUAUAGUUUAUUUGAUGGUCUUACUACUUGGAUAACUGUAGAAAAACUAGAGCUAAUACAUGCCAUAACCGUAAGGUUGUAUUUAUUAGAUAUUCCUGGUAGGUGAUUCAUAAUAACUUAGCGAAUCGUGACUCGUUCACGAUAAAUCAUUCAAGUUUCUGCCCUAUCAUGCUUUCGAUGGUAGUGUAUUGGACUACCAUGGCUCUCACGGGUAACGGAGAAUUAGGGUUCGAUUCCGGAGAAGGAGCCUGAGAAACGGCUACUACAUCUAAGGAAGGCAGCAGG